AAGAUAGUGACGGUAGCAGAGGAGGAAGCUCCGGCUAACUACGUGCCAGCAGCCGCGGUAAUACGUAGGGAGCAAGCGUUGUCCGGAUUUACUGGGUGUAAAGGGUGCGUAGGCGGAUUGGCAAGUCAGAAGUGAAAUCCAUGGGCUUAACCCAUGAACUGCUUUUGAAACUGUUAGUCUUGAGUGAAGUAGAGGUAGGCGGAAUUCCCGGUGUAGCGGUGAAAUGCGUAGAGAUCGGGAGGAACACCAGUGGCGAAGGCGGCCUACUGGGCUUUAACUGACGCUGAGGCACGAAAGUGUGGGUAGCAAACAGGAUUAGAUACCCUGGUAGUCCACACUGUAAACGAUGAUUACUAGGUGUGGGGGGUCUAACCCCCUCCGUGCCGGAGUUAACACAAUAAGUAAUCCUCCUGGGGAGUACGACCGCAAGGUUGAAACUCAAAGGAAUUGACGGGGGCCCGCACAAGCAGUGGAGUAUGUGGUUUAAUUCGAUGCAACGCGAAGAACCUUACCAGGUCUUGACAUCCAACUAACGAAGCAGAGAUGCAUUAGGUGCCCUUCGGGGAAAGAUGAGACAGGUGGUGCAUGGUUGUCGUCAGCUCGUGUCGUGAGAUGUUGGGUUAAGUCCCGCAACGAGCGCAACCCUUGUGAUUAGUUGCUACGCAAGAGCACUCUAAUCAGACUGCCGUUGACAAAACGGAGGAAGGUGGGGAGGACGUCAAAUCAUCAUGCCCUUUAUGACCUGGGCUACACACGUACUACAAUGGUCGUUAACAGAGGGAAGCAAUACCGCGAGGUGGAGCAAAACCCUAAAAACGGUCUCAGUUCAGAUUGUAGGCUGCAACUCGCCUACAUGAAGUUGGAAUUGCUAGUAAUCGCGGAUCAGCAUGCCGCGGUGAAUAAAAUCCCGGGCCUUGCACA
rnacentral:rRNA from 1 species